AGUGUAUGAAGUACGUAGAGUGUCGGCAAGCUCUAUAUAUGGACACUUACGAAGGGUUUUGGUUGUUUUGUAUCUCAAGCCGACUUUGAGUAUUUGAGGAAAAUACGACAGAAAAAACAAACC
rnacentral:sRNA from 12 species